GUGUGAAUCACAGGGCGCUUCUCCCUUGGCACGGUGGCAUGUAUGCACGGAUGAUGGUGGUAGCCUGGUGAGUGUGUGGUGCAGCUAGCAAAUAUCUAGCCCUACGUGCCAAAGGAGAAUUGCCCUGCCAUUUGCCU
rnacentral:pre_miRNA from 1 species